GGCCAAAGCACUUCUGUGAUCUCCUCUC
rnacentral:piRNA from 1 species